GACGAACGCUGGCGGCGUGCUUAACACAUGCAAGUCGAACGGAAAGGCCCUGCUUUUGUGGGGUACUCGAGUGGCGAACGGGUGAGUAACACGUGAGUAACCUGCCCUUGACUUUGGGAUAACUUCAGGAAACUGGGGCUAAUACCGGAUAGGAACUCCUGCUGCAUGGUGGGGGUUGGAAAGUUUCGGCGGUUGGGGAUGGACUCGCGGCUUAUCAGCUUGUUGGUGGGGUAGUGGCUUACCAAGGCUUUGACGGGUAGCCGGCCUGAGAGGGUGACCGGCCACAUUGGGACUGAGAUACGGCCCAGACUCCUACGGGAGGCAGCAGUGGGGAAUAUUGCACAAUGGGCGGAAGCCUGAUGCAGCAACGCCGCGUGCGGGAUGACGGCCUUCGGGUUGUAAACCGCUUUCGCCUGUGACGAAGCGUGAGUGACGGUAAUGGGUAAAGAAGCACCGGCUAACUACGUG
rnacentral:rRNA from 1 species